CUCACCCUGGAUACCUGUCCUUAAUGAAGUGGUUUCUGAAGCCACAUGGGGGUGUCUGAGCUAACCCCAGACCGUGUCCACCUUUGCUAAUACCAGCCAUCUCUGGGGGAUCCACUUGGGGGACAGAGUGGGACCUGGGUUCCUGGAGCCACAGGGAAGAUAUGAAAUUCCAUGGACUGGGAGCUGGGUGAAGGCUCUGCCGGAGCUUGGGGUAGGCUCUGCCGCUGAGCAAGAGGGGGCCCCCACGUGCUGAAAGCUGCCAGUGUGGAAUGGGCCUUCCCGGCACUAUAGCCACUGCUCUUCAUGACUUCUGGUGCCCAGACGGCCUGAUGCCCAGUCUUGGAAUUCUGGAGUCUUCAGGGCUCUGGUCGCUGCCAGCUCUGCUUCACUUGUUUCUUUCAAGACCUGAAUCCCACACAGCUGAAGAUGCCUUUAGGGCUUCUGUCCCAUUUCUCUGGACCUGGUUAUUCAGUACAAUGAUGGAAAUUACAGACAAGAAAUGGAGAGAAUGGGGGAAGCCACAAAGAAAGGGAAGGAAGAAAAAGGCCAGGGAGGAGGAAGAUGCGUCUGUGACCAGAGCCCUGAGCCCAGAGUUGGCCCCCAGGAAGGAUGGGGACUGUUUAUUGAGGAUUUGCCAAUGCUGACAAGGAGCUGGAGAUCACCUGAGUAGCUUACCUGGGGGGAAAGCUGAGCAAAUGAAUUGUGAUGCAUUAAAUCCAUGGAACUAUUCUGCAACUACAUACCAAAAUGUGUUUGGUUUUGUCUAUGGAUGAGGAAAGCUAUGAUGCCUCGUCAAGAGAGAAAGGCGAGCCGUGGAUGUGUGUUGAGAGCCCCAAGCCAAAAGGCUGCCUAUGCACGUAUUUGUGAGCAGGAGAGGCGGAAGGUUAUCCUCUUCCUCCUUUAAGAAGAGGGAAAGAAGUGAAAGUGUUAGUCCCUCAGUCAUGUCCCAUGGACUCUUUGCGACCCCAUGGACUGUAGCCCGCCAGGCUCCUCUGUCCAUGGGAUUCUCCAGGCAAGAAAAAUGGAGUGGGGUGCCAUUCCCUUCUCCGGGGAUCUUUUCAAUCCAGGGAUCAAACUCAGGUCUCCUGCAUUGCAGGCUGAUUCUUUACCAUCUGAGCCACCAGGGAAGCAAGGGCAGAUGAAAAGAGGGUGGGAAGAGGUGAUGUUUUUCUUUUGACAUCAUAGUGUCGACACAUGUUGCUUUUGUAAAGUUUGAAGAGAAAUUGAUGAAGAGGGAAAGAAAGAGUUUGUCCGGCAUAAACUGUGAACAGAAGCAGAGGCAUGAUCCAUAUGGACAUGAUACCGGGAGCAAGAUGGGUGACUCCCUCCGUUCUGAGUGUCGGAUGGGGUGGUGAGAUGUGGAGGAAGCAAGCCGCACUGCAGAGCUGACCCUUUGAGAAGAGACUUGUGGUUUCUUGGUGGGGAGGCUGCCUGCUCUGGGGUCAAGGCUCCUCUGUCAGUGGCGAUGACGGGAUACACGGAGCGCCAUACGCCCCCUGGGGAAGGCCAGGC
rnacentral:lncRNA from 1 species